UGCAGUUGAGUUUGGGAGGAAACACUUGAGGAAACGUCCAGUGGGUGAGUGAGUGGUUUAUGAGCCUGUGAGCCAGACAGCCAGCCUGGAUUUUCAUCCCAGACCCACCACUUGCCAGCUGUGUGACCUCGGACAGGCGACUUCACCUCUCUGGGCCCUAGUUUCUGAAAUAUGGAGAGGACCACACAUGCAUUUACUCACAGGGCUGUUGUGAAGAUUGUAUCAGAUCGCCCAUGCAACAGCACAGGGGCAGCGCCACAAACAAAGAACUAUCCAGUCCAAAAUGUCAUGGUGCCACGGUUCAAAAACCUGGAUCUGGGGGACAGCGAGGACUUGGUGGCGAAGGCCAGGCUCUCCAGGAGAGAGGAUGUCCCCAGGCUGAUGCUCUAUCCACUGAGCCAAACCGGCUAGGGCUGGACCUGGAUUUUUGCUGCUCUCAAGAGACACUUGGAUAAAGCAGAUCGGAUUCUCAUACAAAGCUGAUGUGGAAUUUUAACU